ensembl:lincRNA
UUAGCGUCACCUGGGAGGUCUGUAAAAACACAGAUUGCUGCCUGGAUCCCCACGUUUCUGACGUAGUUUGUCUGCUACGGAGCCCAGAAGCUGACCUUCCUGACAACUCCCCCAAAAGGGGCUGUUGCUGCUGGUCUGGCCACCACCCUUGAAGAGUCGCUGCUUUAAUAUGCAUACCAGAGAUACAGCACUUGAAGAAUGAUUGCUCGAGAGAGAUGGGAAAAGACCAGAGGGUGUGUUUGAUCCAGAGAAAGAGAAUGGGCAAAUUUGAGAGGAGCUUAUCUGCACUGGAGAUGACAGGAAAACAGCUUUAUAAACCAUUGUUAUAUGCUGGUAAGGAGGAUGCGCGAUUUAUACUUCAAAAGGAGGCUCCUGGAAGAACAGCCCCAAGACUGUCUCAGGAGAGGGUGGCCCUGACUGGAGGACAACAUCUCCCACGGGGCAGGAGGAGAGAAGGUGGGUGAGUUACGCGGUGACCCUGCUUUCUAUAGAGCGCUCAGAGCUCCUGUCUCCAUGAAUCACAAUUGAUUUUUUAACACAGACAGAUUUCAUCUUGAUCGAUCUUAGACAAUGUUGAAAUUAAUGCUCUCUAAAAUCUAGGCAACUGUAUCUUUGUCCUUGCGUCUGUGAAAUUCCAUGAGAAAAGUGUUCAGAAAGAACUUCAUUCAGUGAAAGAUGUGGAGAGUUUUGGAAAUGCUCAAACAAAACCUGUUGAAUUUCUAUGAACCCCCAAAACCUGUUGAAUUUCUAUGAACCCCCAGUGAAGAAAACAUGAAGAACAGGGGUUUCGAAAGAAAAAUUUUCCACAUUAUUUCACAGGUCCUCCUUCCUUUCUGAAAGUUGCUUGUUUGCUUUCAUAAAUAAUACUUUCUCCAGCUGGCACACUUAAACAGGAUCCAUUGAAAUAAAUUUCAUGGGACAUUGAGCAAUUCCAGUCCUUUUC